rnacentral:tRNA from 1 species
UCCCCAGUGGCUCAGACGGUAAAGCGUCUGCCUAAGGUGCGGGAGACCCGGGUUCAAUCCCUGGGUCGGGAA